rnacentral:sRNA from 1 species
CGGAGAAGAAACCCGACUCAAAUUGGCGGAGGAUCGCCUCAGCCAAUCCGCACUUCCAUCGGAGGUGGGUCUUCUAAUCGGCAAGUUCAGCUCCGCUUUGGGUCGCGCCUUCAUCUUUGAUUUGGUUCCCACCCCACUUCUACCACAAUCACUCAGUAUUUCGACGCACUCAAGGUGUUGGUUUCAACCCUUUCUUUUAUCUUCCUAAAAUGAAGCAUUCAAGGUAAGCACUGUGUUGGUAGGUAUUGGAGUGAGAGAGGACAAUCGAAGACUAACGUGAGAUGAAUCAGGCCCAACAGCUUGGCAUCGUGUACCCAGCAGGAACGACCCACUAGACAGUGCUGCUGGAGGGCGU